GAUGAACGCUGGCGGCGUGCCUAAUACAUGCAAGUCGAGCGUACAGAUGAGGAGCUUGCUCCUCUGACGUUAGCGGCGGACGGGUGAGUAACACGUGGAUAACCUACCUAUAAGACUGGGAUAACUUCGGGAAACCGGAGCUAAUACCGGAUAAUAUAUUGAACCGCAUGGUUCAAUAGUGAAAGACGGUUUUGCUGUCACUUAUAGAUGGAUCCGCGCCGCAUUAGCUAGUUGGUAAGGUAACGGCUUACCAAGGCGACGAUGCGUAGACGACCUGAGAGGGUGGUAGGCGACCCUAGAGGUUGGCCACGGACCAGACUACUGAGGGACGCAGCAGUAGGGAACCUUACGCAACAGGCGAGAACAUUACAGAGCAGCGCCGCGUGAGUGAUGAAGGUCCUCGGAUCGUAAAACCCUGUUAUUAGGGAAGAACAAAUGUGUAAGUAAAUAUGCACGUAUUGACGGUAACUAAUAAGAAAGCAACGGCUAACUACGUG
rnacentral:rRNA from 1 species